rnacentral:rRNA from 1 species
UACGUAGGGACCGAGCGUUGUCCGGAAUCAUUGGGCGUAAAGAGCGUGUAGGCGGUCAGGUAGGUCCGUUGUGAAAACUCGAGGCUCAACCUCGAGACGCCGAUGGAAACCAUCUGACUAGAGUCCGGAAGAGGAGAGUGGAAUUCCUGGUGUAGCGGUGAAAUGACGCAGAUAUCAGGAAGAACACCCGUGGCUAAGGCGGCUCUCUAGUACGGUACUGACGCUGAGACGCGAAAAGCGUGGGGAGCGAACAGG